rnacentral:rRNA from 1 species
UACGUAGGGUGCAAGCGUUGCCCGGAAUUAUUGGGCGUAAAGAGCUCGUAGGCGGCUCGUCACGUCGGCUGUGAAAACCCGGGGCUCAACCCCGGGCCUGCAGUCGAUACGGGCGAGCUAGAGUUCGGCAGGGGAGACUGGAAUUCCUGGUGUAGCGGUGAAAUGCGCAGAUAUCAGGAGGAACACCGGUGGCGAAGGCGGGUCUCUGGGCCGAUACUGACGCUGAGGAGCGAAAGCGUGGGGAGCGAACAGG